CCCUCUGUGGAGGAGCCUGAGAGAAAGGCUCACGGAGGGCAGAGGGUGGAGGGUGUGGGACCAAGUUCCUUAGAUAAGGCUGUGGCCCCAUGGUAAGGGUCUGGGGAAGUGAUUCAUCCAGGUGGCGCUAGGAGGAAUCUUCGCCGCAGAGGGCAUUCGAGAGAUGACAACUCUAGACAUCCAUGCAACUUCUGUUCUUGUGCUCCUGCUGUUUUCAAAUUCCACAGUCACAGACUGCACCCUGGAAAACUCAGGACACCCUAGAGUGAACUGCUCUGAAGAACAAAGUUGCUACUUGCUUGCUACCUCUGGUUGCUACCCCUGGUUGUGUUUGGUUGCCACAUAAUGAAAUGAUUUUCCUUCCCUCCUUUA
rnacentral:lncRNA from 1 species